rnacentral:rRNA from 1 species
AUACGGAGGGUGCAAGCGUUAAUCGGAAUUACUGGGCGUAAAGGGCGCGUAGGCGGUCUAUCAAGUCAGGUGUGAAAUCCCACGGCUCAACCGUGGAGGUGCAUCUGAAACUGAUAGACUUGAGUAUGGGAGAGGAAAGUGGAAUUCCCGGUGUAGAGGUGAAAUUCGUAGAUAUCGGGAGGAUCACCAGUGGCGAAGGCGACUUUCUGGACCAAUACUGACGCUGAGGCGCGAAAGCGUGGGGAGCAAACAGGAUUAGAAACCCUAGUAGUCC